AAAAGAAGAUCAAGAAGAGCUUCAGAAUGAAGCUUUCUUGAUGGAGGGGAGCGGCAGACGGGUGAGUAACGCGUGGGAACGUACCCUUUGCUACGGAAUAGCUCCGGGAAACUGGAAUUAAUACCGUAUGUGCCCUACGGGGGAAAGAUUUAUCGGCAAAGGAUCGGCCCGCGUUGGAUUAGCUAGUUGGUGGGGUAAUGGCCUACCAAGGCGACGAUCCAUAGCUGGUCUGAGAGGAUGAUCAGCCACGUUGGGACUGAGACACGGCCCAAACUCCUACGGGAGGCAGCAGUGGGGAAUAUUGGACAAUGGGCGCAAGCCUGAUCCAGCCAUGCCGCGUGAGUGAUGAAGGCCUUAGGGUUGUAAAGCUCUUUCACCGGAGAAGAUAAUGACGGUAUCCGGAGAAGAAGCCCCGGCUAACUUCGUGCCAGCCGCCGCCGUAAUAC
rnacentral:rRNA from 1 species